rnacentral:lncRNA from 1 species
UAACCUUUGAUCAAAUGAAAUUAUUUUGAUCGAACCAACCCGGAUAGUCAGACACCAUUUCUUACCCCAUUCUAUCCUUCCCCCACUCUAGUUUGGAGCAUGAAUCCAUAUCUCUAGCGGUACCGCAAUUCUAACCUUUUUGGGUUUUUUAGGAUUUUCUUGAACUUAUAAGAUGUUGGUAAUAAAAUUAAUUGGAUUCUAAAGAUCCUAAAUAGGUCUAGUUGAUCCAAUUAGCUGAAGUGGGA